rfam:Triticum aestivum genome assembly, contig: Triticum_aestivum_CS42_TGACv1_scaffold_271451_3DS
CUUAUACUCCCUCCGUCCGAAAAUACGUGUCGAAUGAAUAGAUAUAUCUAGACAUAUUUAAGUUCUAGAUACAUCCAUUUUUAACCAUUUCUUCGACGAGUAUUUCCGGACGGAGGGAGUACGUC